rnacentral:rRNA from 1 species
GUAGGUCGCAAGCGUUAUCCGAAUUUACUGGGCGUAAAGAGUUGCGUAGGCGGUUUGAUGCAUCGUGUUUGAAAUACUCAGGCUUAACCUGGGAACCGGACACGAUAUGGUCAAACUAUGAAGGGGUGAGGGGUACCUGGAACUGAUGGUGGAGUAGUGAAAUGCGUUGAUAUCAUCAGGAACACCAAAGGCGAAGGCAGGGUACUGGAUCCUUCUUGACGCUUAGGCACGAAAGCUGGGGGAGCGAAGCAGAUUAGAGACCUGCGUAGUCCCAGCCCUAAACAAUGGAUGCUAGAUUCCCCUUUACGGGGGAGUCGUAAGCUAACGCGUUAAGCAUCCCGCCUGGGGAGUACGAGCGCAAGCUUA